GGGGCUUUAGCUCAGUUGGUAGAGCAUCUGCUUUGCAAGCAGAGGGUCAGCGGUUCGACUCCGCUAAGCUCCACCA
rnacentral:tRNA from 1 species